ensembl:snRNA U6 U6 spliceosomal RNA
GUGCUUGCUCUGGCAGCACAUAAAUUAAAAUUCAGACGAUAUAGGGAUUAGUAUGGCCCCUGCAGAAAGAUGACACCCAAAUUUGUGAAGCGUUCCAUAUUUUU